rnacentral:misc_RNA from 1 species
GGCAUAGCAAGAAAAGUGUAUAAGCGUGUAAUUCUAACGAGAAAAAUUAAUUUUCUGCUAAAAGAAUUGUUUUAAAAAAGAUAAUAAUGUCUUAUGGUGGCCAACAAAAUCAGCCUUGGCAACGAAAAGGCGGUUUUUAUCAGGGCGGAAAUAAUCAAAGCGGAAUGUUUAUGCAGCAACAACAUGCUCCUUCUCAGUCGGCUUUUGGACAUUCGGCCAUUUUUUCGCAAGGUGGUGGCGGUGCACCCUCUGUAGCCUACCCACAGCAGCGGUCGACAUCUUUGAACCCAGUUGCUUUUCAGCAACCAAAUGCCGGUGGACAAACGAUGACCAAUUCUAUAGGCACCGUAACAAAAAUCAAUAAUGAAUGCGGACUUAUCAACGAUGAAGUCUUUUUCUACCGCAAUGCUUGUAAGGGAGCAAUUCCUAAAUUGGGCGAUCGCGUAAUGUUUGAAGCCUCCUAUUCUACAACAGGACAAUUUAAGUGGAAUGCAACGCUGAUACAACUAAUGGGUGGCAAUAUGUCGCACCAAGCUCAGCAAUUGCCAUCUUUAAUGGGUAGCGGAGGCGGCGGUAGAAGUGGAAGUGGUUAUAAUGCCGUACCGCCACCGAAUGAAUACCAACUGGCGCAGAUGCAGCUACAACGACAUGGCUCGCCGCGCCACUCGUCACCUAUGCGCGGUGAACGAAGAAAUGACAGAGAACGAGACCGCCGCGAACGUGAGCGCAAUAUUCGCUCCCGUGAUAGUGAUGAUCAGUUGGAAAGAGAUCGGAAGCGUCGUCGUGAAGAUAAUGAACGAAGUCGUGAACGCACCAUGUCCGGUAUGGGGCGAGGCCAUGAUAGGGACCGUGAACACGAGCGCGAAAGAGACCGUGCUCGUCCUGAAGGCAAGCCUGAUCACGCUUUGGAACGUAGAGAUCGUGAAAGGGAGGGUGAACGUGAAAAGGAGCGAGAAAAAGAAAGGGAACGUGAACGCGAACGUGAUAGAGAGCGUGGGGAUCGCGUUAAACGCAGUCCACAUCGUCCCCCAGCGAAGGGACGUCGUACUCGUGCUAUUCGACGCUAUAUGGUGCAAAUACCCAAAAAUAUAUUAGCCUACAAUUCAGCUGAUUUGCAAGAACUACGUCAACGUUACUCAACAUUGUACAUUCCAUCGGAUUUCUUUCAUGCCAACAUCUUGUGGCCUAAAGUUUUCACACCUGAAAAUGCUUUCUCACUACGCCGCCCAUGUCAGUUUCAUAUAAUGCAUCGCAUUGUGGAUUCGCCAUUCGAGCAAAACAACGAUGUACUAGAGCCAUCAGAUGCAGAUUAUUUAUAUUCUGCUAAGGUUAUGCUUAUGGCAUGCCCACCCAUAGCCGACCUUUAUCAAAAAUGCUUUGAAGACGACGAUAAUGACAACGAGCAGAACACGGUGCAUCCUUCGCGUCUAAUUAGUUUCCUCGUAGGUACUAGGGGACGAAAUGAGCCCAUGGCAAUUGGUGGUCCAUGGAGUCCCUCGCUUGACGGUGAAAAUCCCGAUAAGGAUCCGGCCGUAUUAAUACGCACAGCUAUACGCACUUGUAAAGCAUUAACUGGCAUCGAUCUGUCACAAUGCACACAAUGGUAUCGCUUUGUGGAGCUUCACUAUCAUCGUCAAGAUCACAAGAAGAAGGACGCACCACCGCGUAUCGAAACUGUUGUUAUAUAUUUGCCCGAUGUGCAUUCGUGCAUGCCGAACACCGCCCAAUGGCAAGAGCUCAAUCAAGUCUACAAGAACGCCGUGGAGAAUGUAAUCGCGCGUAGAAGUGUCGCUGCAAAGACAGCCACCAACAAUAAUGCCACUGCUGAUUUAGCUGAAGAAGCCUCGCCAAACGGUGAUGGUGACGAUGCUGCCGCUGAUGCUGCAAAUGCAGACGACACUGCAACGGAUGAUGCGGACAAGUCUAUGGAAGCUGCCGACAACACAGCAAAUAAUGAAAAUGACGCUGAAGCCACCACCGUCACAUCGAACGGAAACGACGAGGCUGCUGCUGCUGCUGCGGACACCACGGUGGAAGUUAUUACUAUAGAGGAGAAUGACCUACCGGAAGCUACACAUUAUUCCAAAUUGGACUUGAAGUCAAUGAAGGUGCAGGACAUACGCGAUGAGUUAGCCGCACGUAAUCUAUCAUCAAAAGGUGCUCGUAAUAUAGUUAUGGCACGUUUGGCCAAGGCUUUAAACACAGAAAAGUCCGAGGACAAGGCUGGAAAGAAAACAGCGCCGAAGUCUGAGCCCACCAAAGCCCAACCAACGCCCGUUAAAACGGUUGAGACUAGCGCUAAGAAAGCCGAAACCAAAACUGAAGUAAUCGAACAGAAAGAAGAGGAAAACGAUAAGCCAAAGGAUGAAGAUAAUGAAGAGCAAGAGGAGUGGAACGAUGUUAUUGAUGUGGAUAUGAGUGACAUAGUCAUACUGGAUGAAUAUGACUCGAGCAAGAACCCGGAGGAAACUCCCAAAGAAUUGAAUGAAAAGGAGAAAAAUCAGUUAAUUCGCCGUUAUAAAUUGCCGACUAAAGAACAUAUUAUUGUACAUCCCAAUAAAACCGUUAAAGGUGGUAAAUUCGAUUGCUCAAUGAUGUCUUUAUCAGUGUUGUUGGAUUAUGGCCCAGCAGAUACCAAAGAGCGCUUCUUUGAGGUGUCUAUUUUCGCUGAAUUGUUUAACGAAAUGUUAAUGCGCGACUUCGGUUUCAACAUCUACAAAGAGAUGUAUCUGCACAAAGAGGAAAACAAUGAGACCACAGAUGGCGGCAAAGACAAACACGAAGAGACCGCUAAUGGUGGCAAUAAAACGGACGAUGCUCAAACCAUGGAAGCAGACGAAGAGUCAAAGGUCUCUGCCGAUGCGAAAUCCAACAAGGAAGAAGGCGGUGGUAACGGUAAAUCCAUAUCCGAACGUAGAGCUUCGAAACGUAGUAUUGCCGCCGAUGACGCUGAGGGCGAACGCAAACACAAGUCGGCGGCCGUCAACGGCAAGGAACAAAAGGAGCGUGAACAUGUUUCGGACAAAAAAAUGAUUGUUGUGAAGCCACAGCUUUUGCUAUCUUUCAUCUACUUCGACACCACACAUUGCGGUUAUGUCUUUGAAAAAGAUUUGGAGGAUUUAUUCACAGUGUUGGGUUUGAAUUUGUCGCGUGGCCAAAUACGUCGUGUACUUGGAAAGCUUUCUAUACGUCAAGCAUUUUAUUACCGAAAACUAACCGACAAGGAGGAAUCCACCGAGGCGCCACCUAAAAUUGAGGAUGCUGAUGAUAUACCCAGUGAGGAGUUGCGGAAAAUUGCGCAAGGCAACUGUAUCUACAUACCGAGAGAGAAUGAGCUUAGCGGUGAGGAGAGCGCCAUCGCCUUCAAUAACGACACGAAUGAUAAUGAUGGUCUAGUCAACUAUAAUGGCAUUGUCAUACACGUUGGCAAGCUAUUGGAGCAAAUCAAGCGCACCGAGAAGAACUAUGGCGACUUGGAGAAGUUAUAUAACGAUCUCAGAAAGCAACAUACCGAUUUGCAGCGCGAUCAUUCCAAGUCAAGCACCAAAGUCAAAGACUUGCAGUCGGAAAUUAAAAGCUUAACACGUAAACUCUCCGAUGCAGAUCAAGACCUUUUCGCGCUGAAUCGUAAGUAUCGGGAUCAGCACAGCACACUUUCGCUCAUUUACAGCCGUGUAACACCGUACUUCAGUCGUGAGAAAGACAAGGAUCACAAGUCUGACAGCGCACGCGAUAAGGAUGCUGAUAAGGAUAAAGAUAAAGAGAAGGACAAAGCUAAAGAAAGUACCAAAUCCAGUAAAGAUAAGGAGAAGGAGAAGGAUAAAGAUAAGGAAAAAGAGAAGGAGAAGAAUAAAGAAAAAGAGAAAUCCAAGGAUUCUGGCAAAGAUGCUGAGAAGGCCAAUGAAGUCAAGGAUAAAAAUGAAGUUAACAAAGCUGAAACCGCAAAAGAAGAAAAAGGUACAACUGAACAGAAUGAGCAAGAGGAAGAGCAGGAACCAAUGGAAGACUAAAAAUGCAUUUAUCGUGGAGCAUUGGUAUAAUAGGUGUUUUUUGCGUGUUGUGGUUAUAUGUGAACUUAAAAUAACUUUAAACACCACCCGUUAUGCGAAUAUUCCUCUGGCUAAGGAUUAGAUGCAUAUACACAUUAAUAAAUAUUUAAUGAAUUUUCAAAAAUAUAUAUAUAUAUAAUAAAAUAAAAGGUUGCAAAGGUUUGCUAACGGAAAUAUUUCAA